CCCUUAGAUGUUCUGGGCUGCACGCGCGCUACACUGAUGUGUUCAUCGGGUUCGACCUUGCCCGGGAGGGUUGGGUAAUCCUUUCAAAACACAUCGUGAUGGGGAUAGAUUAUUGCAAUUAUUAAUCUUCAACGAGGAAUUCCUAGUAAGCGCGAGUCAUCAGCUCGUGCUGAUUACGUCCCUGCCCUUUGUACACACCGCCCGUCGCACCUACCGAUUGAAUGGUCCGGUGAAGCCUCCGGAUUGGCGCGCACCUCGGUGCCGCCGAGAAGUUGGCUAAACCUUACCAUUUAGAGGAAGGUGAAGUCGUAACA
rnacentral:rRNA from 1 species